GGAUGGGUCUGCGGCCGAUUAGGUAGUUGGUUAGGUAAUGGCUUACCAAGCCUUUGAUCGGUACGGGUUGUGAGAGCAAGAGCCCGGAGAUGGAACCUGAGACAAGGUUCCAGGCCCUACGGGGUGCAGCAGGCGCGAAACCUCCGCAAUGUGAGAAAUCGCGACGGGGGGAUCCCAAGUGCCAUUCUUAACGGGAUGGCUUUUCUUUAGUGUAAAAAGCUUUUGGAAUAAGAGCUGGGCAAGACCGGUGCCAGCCGCCGCGGUAACACCGGCAGCUCUAGUGGUAGCAAUUUUUAUUGGGCCUAAAGCGUCCGUAGCCGGUUCAAUAAGUCUCUGGUGAAAUCCUGUAGCUUAACUGUGGGAAUUGCUGGAGAUACUAUUAGACUUGAGACCGGGAGAGGUUAGAGGUACUCCCAGGGUAGAGGUGAAAUUCUGUAAUCCUGGGAGGACCGCCUGUUGCGAAGGCGUCUAACUGGAACGGUUCUGACGGUGAGGGACGAAAGUUAGGGGCGCGAACCGGAUUAGAUACCCGGGUAGUCCUAACUGUAAGCGAUGCGGACUUGGUGUUGGGGUAGCUUUGAGCUGCUUCAGUGCCGAAGGGAAGCUGUUAAGUCCGCCGCCUGGGAAGUACUGUCGCGAGACUGAAGCUUAAAGGAAUUGGCGGGGGAGCAC
rnacentral:rRNA from 1 species